rnacentral:rRNA from 1 species
AGUGAACGCUGGCGGUAGGCCUAACACAUGCAAGUCGAACGGCAGCACAGUAAGAGCUUGCUCUUACGGGUGGCGAGUGGCGGACGGGUGAGGAAUACAUCGGAAUCUACUUUUUCGUGGGGGUUAACGUAAGGAAACUUACGCUAAUACCGCAUACGACCUACGGGUGAAAGCAGGGGAUCUUCGCACCUUGCGCGAAUGAAUGAGCCGAUGUGGGAUUAGCUGGUUGGCGGGGUAAUGGCCAACCCAGGCGAGGAUCCGUAGCUGGAGGGGGAGGAUGAUAGGCGACACUGGAGGUUGAACAGGGUCCAUGCGCCUAAGGGAGGGAGCAGUGGGGAAUAUUGGACAGUGGGGGGAAGCCUUGUCCAGCCAGCCCGCGUGUGAGAAGAAGGCGCUGGGUGUGUGAAGCCCGCUUGUUGGGAAAGAAAAGCAUUAGGUUAAGACCCAGCUGUUCUGACGGUACCCAAUGAAGAAGCACCGGCUAACUUCGUG